rfam:Oryza glaberrima chromosome 11 Oglab11_0280_1, whole genome shotgun sequence.
AAAAAGGCAAACCCUGGAUUUGCGUGCCAAUGUUUGACUGUCCGUCUUAUAUGAAAUUUUUUUAUAAUUAGUAUUUUCAUUGUUGUUAGAUGAUAAAAUAUGAUUAAUAUUUUAUGCGUGACUUAUCUUUUAAAUUUUUUUUCAUAAUUUUUUUAAAUAAGACGGACGGUCAAACAUUGGACACGGAAAUCAGGGUUUGUCUUUUU